UGUUGUCAAGUGUAUCCUGUGUUGCAGUUUCGGUUUGUGACCGACACUAACGGGUAGUUGAGGCAUCUCGUAUUCGCUGUUUUAUACUCGUUUUUGCGAUCACAAAUUCUGAAAUUGCAACGAAAUGCAACGAAAAAGAAAAAGUUCCCAAGGAGAGGGCGGGGGCCAGAGGCGGCGGCGAGGGCUUUAAUGUGAGUUGUGUGCCUCAGUGUGAAAAGUGUGAGAUUCUUUUUUACGAUUGUUCGAAAGCAGUUUACAGCUAGCCCUAUAAAGGGAGAGCAAACAGUAAAAGAGAGAGCGGGCGAGAGGGAGACAGCGUAAUACACAUAAAAUAAUAUAUAUGAAAAAUGUGGCGGCAGCCAAUGGAGCUACUUGAUAUGUAAAUGGAUAUUGACGCAUGUUGAAAGAUUACAAAUACCUAGAAAUAGUGUCAUUUUGCACACUCAUACACUCCCACAUACACGCACACCCCCCACACACAGCAGUUGUUUGAUAAGCUCACAAUUUGUAACUCGUCUUUGCUCGAAAUACAUUUGCCAACUGGAAUUAUAUGUGUGUGUGUGUGUGUGUGUGAGUAUGCGACUUGAAUCCAAUUGGAUUUUGUGGCUGCGCGUCGAAGAUGUCAAACUGUCUCAGGAAUAUAAGACGCAACUCUGUCUGCUGCUAU